AUGUGCGAUCAUACCAGCACUAAAGCACCGGAUCCCAUCAGAACUCCGAAGUUAAGCAUGCUUGGGCGAGAGUAGUACUAGGAUGGGUGACCUCCUGGGAAGUCCUCGUGCUGCAUUCC
rnacentral:rRNA from 1 species